GGAAUAUUGGACAAUGGGGGAAACCCUGAUCCAGCCGUGCCGCGUGAGUGAAGAAGGCCCUAGGGUUGUAAAGCUCUUUCGCACGCGACGAUGAUGACGGUAGCGUGAGAAGAAGCCACGGCCAACUUCGUGCCAGCAGCCGCGGUAAUACGGAGGGGGCAAGCGUUGUUCGGAUUUACUGGGCGUAACGGGCGCGUAGGCGGAUUCGUAAGUCAGAGGUGAAAGCCCUGGGCUCAACCCGGGAAUGGCCUUUGAGACUGCGAGUCUUGAGUGCGAGAGAGGGUGGCGGAAUACCCAGUGUAGAGGUGAAAUUCGUAGAUAUUGGGUAGAACACCAGUGGCGAAGGCGGCCACCUGGCUCGCAACUGACGCUGAGGCGCGAAAGCGUGGGGAGCAA
rnacentral:rRNA from 1 species